GAUGAACGCUGGCGGCGUGCCUAAUACAUGCAAGUCGAACGCAUUUCCGUUAUUUGAUUUAGACGUGCUUGCACUGAUAAUGAUUUUAGCAAUGAAAUGAGUGGCGAACGGGUGAGUAACACGUGGGUAACCUGCCCAGAAGCGGGGGAUAACACUUGGAAACAGGUGCUAAUACCGCAUAAUAGAGAAAACCACAUGGUUUUCUUUUGAAAGAUGGCUUCGGCUAUCACUUCUGGAUGGACCCGCGGCGUAUUAGCUAGUUGGUAAGGUAAAGGCUUACCAAGGCAGUGAUACGUAGCCGACCUGAGAGGGUAAUCGGCCACAUUGGGACUGAGACACGGCCCAGACUCCUACGGGAGGCAGCAGUAGGGAAUCUUCCACAAUGGACGAAAGUCUGAUGGAGCAACGCCGCGUGAGUGAAGAAGGGUUUCGGCUCGUAAAGCUCUGUUGUUAAAGAAGAACGUGGGUAAGAGUAACUGUUUACCCAGUGACGGUAUUUAACCAGAAAGCCACGGCUAACUACGUGCCAGCCGC
rnacentral:rRNA from 1 species